UACGAAGGGGGCUAGCGUUGCUCGGAAUCACUGGGCGUAAAGGGUGCGUAGGCGGGUCUUUUAAGUCAGGGGUGAAAUCCUGGAGCUCAACUCCAGAACUGCCUUUGAUACUGAAGAUCUUGAGUUCGGGAGAGGUGAGUGGAACUGCGAGUGUAGAGGUGAAAUUCGUAGAUAUUCGCAAGAACACCAGUGGCGAAGGCGGCUCACUGGCCCGAUACUGACGCUGAGGCACGAAAGCGUGGG
rnacentral:rRNA from 1 species